CAGGCGGUUUGUUAAGCUAGAUGUGAAAGCCCCGGGCUCAACCUGGGAUGGUCAUUUAGAACUGGCAGACUAGAGUCUUGGAGAGGGGAGUGGAAUUCCAAGUGUAGCGGUGAAAUGCGUAGAGAUCUGGAGGAACAUCAGUGGCGAAGGCGACUCCCUGGCCAAAGACUGACGCUCAUGUGCGAAAGUGUGGGUAGCGAACAGGAUUAGAUACCCUGGUAGUCCACACCGUAAACGCUGUCUACUAGCUGUGUGUGUAUUUUAUACGUGCGUAGCGAAGCUAACGCGCUAAGUAGACCGCCUGGGGAGUACGGCCGCAAGGUUAAAACUCAAAUGAAUUGACGGGGGCCCGCACAAGCGGUGGAGCAUGUGGUUUAAUUCGAUGCAACGCGAAGAACCUUACCUACACUUGACAUGCAGAGAACUUUCUAGAGAUAGAUUGGUGCCUUCGGGAACUCUGACACAGGUGCUGCAUGGCUGUCGUCAGCUCGUGUCGUGAGAUGUUGGGUUAAGUCCCGCAACGAGCGCAACCCUUGUCCUUAGUUGCCAGCAUUAAGUUGGGCACUCUAAGGAGACUGCCGGUGACAAACCGGAGGAAGGUGGGGACGACGUCAAGUCAUCAUGGCCCUUACGUGUAGGGCUACACACGUGCUACAAUGGCAAGUACU
rnacentral:rRNA from 1 species